UUUUUAGUUUGAUUUGGUAGGGUUUAAACUUUAAACCCAAGCGUUGAAGAGUCUCAAUCAAAAGUCAAAACAAAUCAACGGACGGCAUCGCUACCGGAGAGAAGAGAGAAACCUCAACAGAGAUAGCAACCUCCCGAUUCUAGCUCUUCCUCUCCUCCAGUCCACAACCAUGGCUGCUGCAUCAUCACCAGCUUCGUAUGCUCUUACUUCAAACCCUUUCACCUCUGCCAAUAGACCCUCCUCCUGCUGUAUAUCUUCUCUGAAGUUGCCCAACACCUGUUCGACCAUUUUCCCCUUCAAACCUCUCACCUCCACACCCCCCGGAGCUCCACCUCCACAACCUCUCACCACCAUUCGUGGCUACACCACGACCCACGCCGCCGGGGCGGCGGCUGCUGCCCCCACCGCCACUACUUUCCACGGUCUUUGCUAUGUUGUUGGCGACAACAUUGAUACCGAUCAAAUCAUCCCCGCGGAGUAUCUGACCCUCGUUCCUUCUAAACCCGACGAGUACAAAAAGCUCGGAUCCUACGCUCUCAUUGGUCUUCCCUCCACGUACUCCACGCGCCUCGUCGAGCCUGGCGAAUUCAAAUCCAAGUACUCUAUCGUUAUCGCUGGCGACAAUUUUGGGUGCGGCUCUUCGCGAGAGCAUGCGCCAGUUGCGCUGGGCGCUUCUGGGAUCGCUGCGGUUGUGGCCGAGUCCUAUGCUCGGAUAUUUUUCCGCAACUCCGUGGCAACCGGAGAGGUUUACCCAUUGGAAUCCGAGGUUAGGAUUUGCGAGGAGUGUAGGACUGGAGACGUGGUUACCAUUGAGCUUGGUGAUAGCCGUUUGAUUAAUCAUACAACUGGAAAGGAAUAUAAGUUGAAGCCAAUUGGUGAUGCGGGGCCUGUAAUUGAAGCUGGUGGGAUUUUUGCCUACGCGAGGAAGACUGGGAUGAUUCCCUCCGUAUCUGCUUGAAACAGAGGUAUUGAUGUGGGACAUUGUUCUUACUGCAAACCCCAUUUGUUUGGCUUGAUCAUUUUAGCUUUUGUGAUUUGUGGACCAUUCUGUUGUUUUAUUUAUCGCUGUUAUUUUCUAAUUUUCUUAUGAGCAAAAAAAAAACAAUGUUACUAAAGAAGGGCUUUGAGUGGUGCCAACUCAUGUACCAAAAGAAGCUCAUGGGCAGGAAUCAAUAAGGAGUUUUUCGUUUGCCCUGAAAGCCUUCCUAUUUCUUUUGAUGACUCACCCCAAAAAUUGGGUUAGUGCUACUUCCUUUUGGUGGAGUUCGCUGAAAAGAUAUUUUGAUGGUGAAGUUUGUGGCUAUUUUUCUUCCAGUUCUGUGCGAAUGAGAAGUUCCUUACGACCAGUGCUAUAUAAGAACCAAUAGUUUCUCAUGCUUUGCAUAAUAAAAAUGCAAGUCAUUUCAUCACAUCUUUGUUUGUUUUGUAAUAGAACUUGUAGUUAGAAUUUUACCAUUGCUUUUGUGAUCUAUCAUGCUGCUGUAACUUUUGAUAAUUUAAGAUCAUUAGAGAGAUAAUGCGUACAUCUAAUAUUAUCAUUAUCUCUGGUUUUCUAAUAA